UACGGGGGGGGGGCAAGCGUUGUUCGGAAUUACUGGGCGUAAAGAGCUCGUAGGUGGUUUGUCGCGUUGUCCGUGAAAACUCACAACUCAAUUGUGGGCGUGCGGGCGAUACGGGCAGACUGGAGUACUGCAGGGGAGACUGGAAUUCCUGGUGUAGCGGUGGAAUGCGCAGAUAUCAGGAGGAACACCGGUGGCGAAGGCGGGUCUCUGGGCAGUAACUGACGCUGAGGAGCGAAAGCGUGGGGAGCGAACAGG
rnacentral:rRNA from 1 species